GUCCAUAUGCAGUGGCAGUAUCGUAGCCAAUGAGGUUUAUCCGAGGCGCGAUUAUUGCUAAUUGAAAACUUUUCCCAUUAUGUCC
rnacentral:snRNA from 1 species